AACGAACGCUGGCGGCAUGCCUAACACAUGCAAGUCGAACGAGACCUUCGGGUCUAGUGGCGCACGGGUGCGUAACGCGUGGGAACCUGCCCUUAGGUUCGGAAUAACUCCCUGAAAGGGGUGCUAAUACCGGAUAAUGUCUUCGGACCAAAGAUCUAUCGCCUUUGGAUGGGCCCGCGUUGGUUUAGCUAGUUGGUAGGGUAAAAGCCUACCAAGGCGACGAUCCAUAGCUGGUCUGAGAGGAUGAUCAGCCACACUGGGACUGAGACACGGCCCAGACUCCUACGGGAGGCAGGAGUGGGGAAUAUAGGACAAUGGGCGAAAGCCUGAUCCAGCAAUGCCGCGUGAGUGAUGAAGGCCUUAGGGUUGUAAAGCUCUUUUACCCGGGAUGAUAAUGACAGUACCGGGAGAAUAAGCUCCGGCUAACUCCGUG
rnacentral:rRNA from 1 species